rnacentral:rRNA from 1 species
AGCGAACGCUGGCGGCAGGCCUAACACAUGCAAGUCGAACGGAUCCUUCGGGAUUAGUGGCGGACGGGUGAGUAACACGUGGGAACGUGCCCUUUGGUUCGGAACAACUCAGGGAAACUUGAGCUAAUACCGGAUGAGCCCUUCGGGGGAAAGAUUUAUCGCCAUUGGAGCGGCCCGCGUCGGAUUAGCUAGUUGGUGGGGUAAAGGCCCACCAAGGCGACGAUCCGUAGCUGGUCUGAGAGGAUGAUCAGCCACAUUGGGACUGAGACACGGCCCAAACUCCUACGGGAGGCAGCAGUGGGGAAUCUUGCGCAAUGGGCGAAAGCCUGACGCAGCCAUGCCGCGUGAAUGAUGAAGGUCUUAGGAUUGUAAAAUUCUUUCACCGGGGACGAUAAUGACGGUACCCGGAGAAGAAGCCCCGGCUAACUUCGUGCCAGCAGCCGCGGUAACAC